rnacentral:rRNA from 1 species
GAUCCUGGCUCAGGACGAACGCUGGCGGCGUGCUUAACACAUGCAAGUCGAACGAAAAGACGGAAAGAGCUUGCUCUUUUCAGAAUUGAGUGGCAAACGGGUGAGUAACACGUAAACAACCUGCCUUCAGGAUGGGGACAACAGACGGAAACGACUGCUAAUACCGAAUAAGUUCCAAGGGCCGCAUGGCCCAUGGAAGAAAAGGUGGCCUCUACCUGUAAGCUAUCGCCUGAAGAGGGGUUUGCGUCCGAUUAG